rnacentral:tRNA from 1 species
CUGCUUUGCAAGCAGGGGGUCGAGGGUUCGAAUCCCUCAAGGUCCACCA